UACGAAGGGGGCUAGCGUUGCUCGGAAUCACUGGGCGUAAAGCGCACGUAGGCGGCUUCUUAAGUCAGGGGUGAAAUCCUGGAGCUCAACUCCAGAACUGCCUUUGAUACUGAGAAGCUUGAGUCCGGGAGAGGUGAGUGGAACUGCGAGUGUAGAGGUGAAAUUCGUAGAUAUUCGCAAGAACACCAGUGGCGAAGGCGGGCACGCUGGACCCUCUCUGACGCUGAGGCGCGGAAAGCCAGGGGAGCCGGAACGG
rnacentral:rRNA from 1 species